CGGCGGCCGCACUCACCCAGCAGCGCGCGGAGGUGCUUGAGGCGGGCUCGUGGGAUGCCCAGUGGGUGAUGCUCCGCAGCCAUGUAAACAGGAGUGGGAGGAACUCAUGUUCCCGUGUGUCGGAUGCAGCAAGGCAUCUUCUGGCCUCUUUAGAGAUAUCAGAAGCAUCCCUCCUGUCACUCCAGCUUGUCAAGUCAGGGCACAGCACCACAUCUCCCCCACCCCAGGCGGGGGCUGUGGACUCCUGCUGCUUUCAGGGACCAGAACAAGGAUGCUCUUCUCCAUGGGCAGAGCAGCCCCGUGGCAUCAUGGUCUGGGGCUGCAUCCACCACCCUCUGUGGUCCAGGGGCACUGUCCACUACCCUUUGUGGU